rnacentral:rRNA from 1 species
CCUACGGGAGGCAGCAGUGGGGAAUAUUGCACAAUGGGGGAAACCCUGAUGCAGCGACGCCGCGUGAGUGAAGAAGUAAUUCGUUAUGUAAAGCUCUAUCAGCAGGGAAGAAAAUGACGGUACUUGAGUACGAAGAAGCGGCUAAUUACGACCCAGCAGCCGCGGUAAUACGUCGGGGGCAAGCGUUAUCCGGCGUUACUGGGUGAAAAGGGAGCGUAGACGGCAGGGCAAGUCUGAGGUGAAAGGCGGGGGCUCAACCCCCGGACGGCUUGGGAAACGGUACGGUGGGGGGGCAGGAGGGGGAAGGGGAAGUCCGGGUGAGGCGGGGAAAUGCG